AGGUCAGUGGGACUAACAUGGCUCCCUCUGGUGCAAAUGAAGUCAGCAAGCUUCAACUCUCGUUCUUCUCUAUCCACAAGGACCUGUAUGUAAUCCCUCUCAUCUCAGAGUAUGUGUGCAGUGGGAGAUGAUGGAACGAACAGUCUGGCCCCAUUGGAGUGAGGAGGCAUCUCUUAUCCAUUUCUACUUGUCUGCCCUGCUUCUGGUGCCUUGGACUACUUAAGAAUAGCCUGUGGAUGAAGCUAACAACCAAGUAACGUAGAGGAGAUGAUGCAUCAAAGAGUCCGGUACUUGUAUCACCAUUUAUUCCCUCAAUCAACCCGUAUUGAAACCUGCCUUAGUCUGAGUUUCCUGUUCCAGGCAAUAAUAAAUGACCUGUCAUUUAAACCAGC